rnacentral:tRNA from 1 species
GGGCGCGUAGCUCAGCGGUAGAGCACUACCUUGACACGGUAGGGGUCACAGGUUCGAUCCCUGUCGCGCCCACCA